rnacentral:rRNA from 1 species
AACGAACGCUGGCGGCAGGCUUAACACAUGCAAGUCGAACGCCCCGCAAGGGGAGUGGCAGACGGGUGAGUAACGCGUGGGAAUCUACUCAGUUCUACGGAACAACUGAGGGAAACUUCAGCUAAUACCGUAUACGCCCUACGGGGGAAAGAUUUAUCGGAAUUGGAUGAGCCCGCGUUGGAUUAGCUAGUUGGUGAGGUAACGGCUCACCAAGGCGACGAUCCAUAGCUGGUCGGAGAGGAUGAUCAGCCACACUGGAGCUGAGACACGGCCCAGACUCCGACGGGAGGGAGCAGUGGGUAAUAUUAGACAAUGGGCGCAAGCCUGAACCAGCCAUGCCGCGUGAGUGAUGAAGGCCUUAGGGUUGUAAAGCUCUUUCACCGGAGAAGAUAAUGACGGUAUCCGGAGAAGAAGCCCCGGCUAACUUCGUGCCAGCAGCCGCCGUAACAC